AGAUUCCUCAAAGGCCCUUUCUGCUCUCCAGACUCUACCUGCCUGCUCCUUCUGCUGCCACACAUCACUUCAGGAAACUGAUGAACUGUACCGACCUCAGAUUAACCUCCGACCCCGUCUUUCUUUUUCUGCAAUCCCAGGCCAUCACUGGAGGUUCCAGAAGAUCAGGCGUAAGGAAGAGAGAUAUCAGAUAACAAGGCGGCGUGGAGGCGCAGCACGUGGUGUGGCAUGCUCCGCCGCCGCAACCACCGGGAAUGAAGUGACAGGCCGUGGUGGAGCACAG